GGAGGGUGAUGUGGGCCCGUGCGAGGAAAGCGCGGACCCCUUGGAUAUUAAACGUAUCAGAAGACAAGCCUCUAAUAGAGAAUCGGCACGGCGUUCGAGAAGACGAAAACAAGCACAUUUAGCAGAUCUUGAAAGUCAGGUUGAUCAAUUUAGAGGUGAAAAUGAAGCAUUGUUUAAACAAUUAGCAGAUGCUACACAACAAUAUAAAGAAUCUUUGACAAAUAAUAGAGUGCUAAAGUCAAAUGUGGAAGAAUUAAGAGCCAAAGUGAAAUUGGCUGAGGUUAGGGCAGCUAGAGGUACAGUAUCCUCAAGUUUAAGUCAUCUUUUCCUAAAUUACUUGACCCCUCCUCAAUCUCUCGAUACCAAUAAUAAUAUUACGAUGCGUCGUCUCGAUAACGUCUCUCCGGCCAUCAACAUUAUCGGAGAAGAC
rnacentral:misc_RNA from 1 species